CCCCGCGGCCCCGGCCCCGGCGGCGUCCCCGGGCCUCCCUGCCGCCUUGGUAGCGCCGGUCCGCACUCGGCCUGACCCGGGACGUCACGCCGCCUGUCUGUUUUCUCAAUGAUAACUUGGCAGGAGAAGGGGGAAGCGGCCGGGUUUUUCCUGGGCUCGUUACCGGGGGAAUUACUCAUCCAGUGAGGAAGGUGUCUUUAAAUCUCUGAGACGAUGCCACAACACGUGCAAGAGGAAAUCUCAGCGCACAGCCAAUGCAAUGAAAUAAAGGAUCCUCUAUGGGAAUUGGUGGCCAAGAGGCUGAUAGGAGGGAGUGGACACCAGUUUUAAACCAACUAUUUGUGAUGGAAAAUGAUGAGAAAAGUAAAAAGAUCUUACUCCACAGACCAAUGCAUUUAC